rfam:Bacillus smithii strain DSM 4216, complete genome.
AAGAGCCACUAGGGGUGCCGAUAGUGAUCGGCUGAGAUUAAAGUGAUACUUUAAAACCCUUCGAACCUGAUCUGGUUGAUACCAGCGUAGGAAAGUGGAGUAUAAUUUCA